UACGGGGGGGGCAAGCGUUACUCGGAAUUAUUGGGCGUAAAGGGCGCGUAGGCGGUCGUGUGCGUCGGAGGUGAAAUCCCCAGGCUUAACCUGGGAACUGCCUCCGAUACGGCAUGGCUUGAGUCCGGGAGAGGGGAGCAGAAUUCCCAGUGUAGCGGUGAAAUGCGUAGAUAUUGGGAGGAAGACCAGUGGCGAAGGCGGCUCCCUGGACCGGUACUGACGCUGAGGCGCGAAAGCGUGGGUAGCAAACAGG
rnacentral:rRNA from 1 species